AGUUUAAGCAAUUAAACUUUAGUGGCGAACGGGUGAGUAACGCGUAAGCAAUCUGCCCCUAAGACGAGGAUAACAGUUGGAAACGACUGCUAAGACUGGAUAGGAGACAAGAGGGCAUCUUCUUGUUUUUAAAAGACCUAGCAAUAGGUAUGCUUAGGGAGGAGCUUGCGUCACAUUAGUUAGUUGGUGGGGUAAAGGCCUACCAAGACUAUGAUGUGUAGCCGGGCUGAGAGGUUGAACGGCCACAUUGGGACUGAGACACGGCCCAAACUCCUACGGGAGGCAGCAGUAGGGAAUUUUCGGCAAUGGAGGAAACUCUGACCGAGCAACGCCGCGUGAACGAUGAAGUAUUUCGGUACGUAAAGUUCUUUUAUUAGGGAAGAAUAAAUGAUGGAAAAAUCAUUCUGACGGUACCUAAUGAAUAAGCCCCGGCUAACUAUGUGCCAGCAGCCGCGGUAAUACAUAGGGGGCAAGCGUUAUCCGGAAUUAUUGGGCGUAAAGGGUGCGUAGGCGGUUAAAUAAGUUUAUGGUCUAAGUGCAAUGCUCAACAUUGUGAUGCUAUAAAAACUGUUUAGCUAGAGUAAGAUAGAGGCAAGUGGAAUUCCAUGUGUAGUGGUAAAAUGCGUAAAUAUAUGGAGGAACACCAGUAGCGAAGGCGGCUUGCUGGGUCUUUACUGACGCUGAGGCACGAAAGCGUGGGGAGCAAACAGGAUUAGAUACCCUGGUAGUCCACGCCGUAAACGAUGAGUACUAAACGUUGGGUAAAACCAGUGUUGAAGUUAACACAUUAAGUACUCCGCCUGAGUAGUACGUACGCAAGUAUGAAACUUAAAGGAAUUGACGGGACUCCGCACAAGCGGUGGAUCAUGUUGUUUAAUUCGAAGGUACCCGAAAAACCUCACCAGGUCUUGACAUGCUUCUGCAAAGCUGUAGAAACACAGUGGAGGUUAUCAGUUGCACAGGUGGUGCAUGGUUGUCGUCAGCUCGUGUCGUGAGAUGUUGGGUUAAGUCCCGCAACGAGCGCAACCCUUAUUGUUAGUUACCAGCACGUAAUGGUGGGGACUUUAGCAAGACUGCCAGUGAUAAAUUGGAGGAAGGUGGGGACGACGUCAAAUCAUCAUGCCCCUUAUGACCUGGGCUACAAACGUGAUACAAUGGCUGUUACAAAGGGUAGCUGAAGCGCAAGUUUUUGGCGAAUCUCAAAAAAACAGUCUCAGUUCGGAUUGAAGUCUGCAACUCGACUUCAUGAAGUUGGAAUCGCUAGUAAUCGCGAAUCAGCAUGUCGCGGUGAAUACGUUCUCGGGGUUUGUACACACCGCCCGUCAAACCACGAAAGUUGGCAAUACCCAAAGCCGGUGGCCUAACUUCGCAAGAAGAGGGAACCGUCUAAGGUAGGGUCGAUGAUUGGGGUUAAGUCGUAACAAGGUAUCCCUACCGGAAGGUGGGGAUGGAUCACCUCCUUU
rnacentral:rRNA from 1 species